rnacentral:rRNA from 4 species
AAUGGGUGAGUAACACGUACCUAACCUACCUUUAAGAUUGGGAUAACUACUGGAAACAGUAGCUAAUACCGAAUACGGGUUUCUUUCGCAUGAGAGAAAUUUAAAAGAAGCCUUUAAAGCUUCACUUAAAAAUGGGGGUGCGGAACAUUAGCUAGUUGGUAGGGUAAAGGCCUACCAAGGCGAUGAUGUUUAGCCGGGCCGAGAGGCUGUACGGCCACACUGGGACUGAGAUACGGCCCAGACUCCUACGGGAGGCAGCAGUAGGGAAUUUUCCACAAUGAGCGAAAGCUUGAUGGAGCGACACAGCGUGCAGGAUGAAGGCCUUCGGGUUGUAAACUGCUGUUGCAAGGGAAGAAAAAACAAAGUAGGAAAUGACUUUGCAUUGACGGUACCUUGUUAGAAAGCGAUGGCAAACUAUGUGCCAGCAGCCGCGGUAAUACAUAGGUCGCAAGCGUUAUCCGGAAUUAUUGGGCGUAAAGAGUUCGUAGGUUGUUUGUUAAGUCUGAAGUUAAAUACUGGAGCUCAACUCCAGCCCGCUUUGGAUACUGGCAAGCUGGAAUUACAAAGAGGUUAGCGGAAUUCCUAGUGAAGCGGUGGAAUGCGUAGAUAUUAGGAAGAACACCAAUAGGCGAAGGCAGCUAACUGGUUGUAUAUUGACACUGAGGAACGAAAGCGUGGGGAGCAAACAGGAUUAGAUACCCUGGUAGUCCACGCCGUAAACGAUGAUCAUUAGUUGGUAGAGAAUUUACCGAUGCAGCUAACGCAUUAAAUGAUCCGCCUGAGUAGUAUGCUCGCAAGAGUGAAACUUAAAGGAAUUGACGGGGACCCGCACAAGCGGAGGAGCAUGUGGUUUAAUUUGAAGAUACGCGUAGAACCUUACCCACUCUUGACAUCCCUUGCAAUGCUAUAGAGAUAUAGCGGAGGUUAACAAGGUGACAGAUGGUG